rnacentral:rRNA from 1 species
GGAUGAACGCUGACAGAAUGCUUAACACAUGCAAGUCAACUUGAACUUCGGUUUGGGUGGCGGACGGGUGAGUAACGCGUAAAGAACUUGCCUCACAGCUAGGGACAACAUUUGGAAACGAAUGCUAAUACCUGAUAUUAUGAUUAUAUGGCAUCGUAUAAUUAUGAAAGCUAUAUGCGCUGUGAGAGAGCUUUGCGUCCCAUUAGCUAGUUGGAGAGGUAACAGCUCACCAAGGCGAUGAUGGGUAGCCGGCCUGAGAGGGUGAUCGGCCACAAGGGGACUGAGACACGGCCCUUACUCCUACGGGAGGCAGCAGUGGGGAAUAUUGGACAAUGGACCGAGAGUCUGAUCCAGCAAUUCUGUGUGCACGAUGAAGUUUUUCGGAAUGUAAAGUGCUUUCAGUUGGGAAGAAAAAAAUGACGGUACCAACAGAAGAAGUGACGGCUAAAUACGUG